GACGAACGCUGGCGGCGUGCCUAAUACAUGCAAGUAGAACGCUGAAGAGAGGAGCUUGCUCUUCUUGGAUGAGUUGCGAACGGGUGAGUAACGCGUAGGUAACCUGCCCUGUAGCGGGGGAUAACUAUUGGAAACGAUAGCUAAUACCGCAUAACAAUGGAUGACACAUGUCAUUUAUUUGAAGGGGCAAUUGCUCCACUACAAGAUGGACCUGCGUUGUAUUAGCUAGUAGGUGAGGUAACGGCUCACCUAGGCGACGAUACAUAGCCGACCUGAGAGGGUGAUCGGCCACACUGGGACUGAGACACGGCCCAGACUCCUACGGGAGGCAGCAGUAGGGAAUCUUCGGCAAUGGGGGCAACCCUGACCGAGCAACGCCGCGUGAGUGAAGAAGGUUUUCGGAUCGUAAAGCUCUGUUGUAAGUCAAGAACGAGUGUGAGAGUGGAAAGUUCACACUGUGACGGUAGCUUACCAGAAAGGGACGGCUAACUACGUGCCAGCAGCCGCGGUAAUACGUAGGUCCCGAGCGUUGUCCGGAUUUAUUGGGCGUAAAGCGAGCGCAGGCGGUUUGAUAAGUCUGAAGUUAAAGGCUGUGGCUCAACCAUAGUUCGCUUUGGAAACUGUCAAACUUGAGUGCAGAAGGGGAGAGUGGAAUUCCAUGUGUAGCGGUGAAAUGCGUAGAUAUAUGGAGGAACACCGGUGGCGAAAGCGGCUCUCUGGUCUGUAACUGACGCUGAGGCUCGAAAGCGUGGGGAGCGAACAGGAUUAGAUACCCUGGUAGUCCACGCCGUAAACGAUGAGUGCUAGGUGUUGGAUCCUUUCCGGGAUUCAGUGCCGCAGCUAACGCAUUAAGCACUCCGCCUGGGGAGUACGACCGCAAGGUUGAAACUCAAAGGAAUUGACGGGGGCCCGCACAAGCGGUGGAGCAUGUGGUUUAAUUCGAAGCAACGCGAAGAACCUUACCAGGUCUUGACAUCCCGAUGCUAUUUCUAGAGAUAGAAAGUUACUUCGGUACAUCGGUGACAGGUGGUGCAUGGUUGUCGUCAGCUCGUGUCGUGAGAUGUUGGGUUAAGUCCCGCAACGAGCGCAACCCCUAUUGUUAGUUGCCAUCAUUCAGUUGGGCACUCUAGCGAGACUGCCGGUAAUAAACCGGAGGAAGGUGGGGAUGACGUCAAAUCAUCAUGCCCCUUAUGACCUGGGCUACACACGUGCUACAAUGGUUGGUACAACGAGUUGCGAGUCGGUGACGGCAAGCUAAUCUCUUAAAGCCAAUCUCAGUUCGGAUUGUAGGCUGCAACUCGCCUACAUGAAGUCGGAAUCGCUAGUAAUCGCGGAUCAGCACGCCGCGGUGAAUACGUUCCCGGGCCU
rnacentral:rRNA from 1 species